AGAUAAAGAACCAAGACACAAAUCGGUGCUCAACAGGGACUUGUGGAAGGAAAUUUGCCUGUCCUCUGGGGUGGAAUCCAUCAAGGCUCAGGAGAAACCUGGGCUUCUGUGCUGCUGAGGUCAGAGCCAACCUGUCCCAGGAGCCCAUGGGGGUCCUCUCAUCCCUGCCCCUCCCCGCUGCUGAGAGCGACAGGGCUGAGGGCACACCCUGCCAUCCUGUGGGCCACACGCUCCUGUGGACAGCUCUGCUAUUCCUGGCUCCUGUGGCUGGGACACCUGCGGAUCUCCCGAAGGCCGUGGUGGACCUCAAGCCCCCCUGGAUCAACGUGCUCAGGGAGGAUUAUGUGACUCUGAGGUGCCAGGGGGCCCUCUCGCCUGAGGACUCCCCCACCCAGUGGUUCUUUAACGGGAGCUCCAUCCGGACCCAGGUCCGGCCGCGCUACAGCUUCAAGGCCAGCAGCAGCCACAGCGGGGACUACAGGUGCCAGACGGACCAGACCAGCCUCAGCGACCCUGUGCAUCUGGACGUGAUUUCUGACUGGCUGCUGCUCCAGACCCCUCGCCUGGUGUUCCAGGAGCCAGAGCCCAUCCUGUUGAGGUGCCACAGCUGGAAAAACAAGUCUCUGUACAAGGUCACAUUCUUCCAGGACGGAAAACCCAGGAAAUUUUCCCAUAUGAAUUCCAGCUUCUCCAUCCCACGAGCGAACGUCAGUCACAGCGGCUCAUACCACUGCACCGGGGUCAUAGGGCAGAUGCGGCACUCAUCCCGGCCUCUGACCAUCACUGUCCAAGGGUCCAGCUCGAGCCACUCCUCGCUGGUGACGAUAGCUGUGGCUGUGGUCAUAGGGAUUGCCGCAGUGGCCACUCUUGCUGCCAUAGUAACCUGGCUCCGUCUCAGGCAAAAGCGGACUUCAGCUCUCCUAGGAACCCCUGAGAGCAGGGAAAUGGGAGAGGCCUUCCCUGAGGAGCCAGGUGAGUGCAGCUCCCCCUUGGGGACUCAUGACACCCCACCUGGGGCUGCCAGACGGACUGACAGCAAGAAGUGGCUUGUAAUUCCGAGCAUGGCACACAGGGGCCCUUUGUGUCCGCGGGAUGAGUGAAGAGACUAGAUGCAUUGUCUCAGACUCCCUCCCCACUUCCUGAGGAAUGCGGCUUUGCAAAUACUGAGGCUGCUUUUUACGCUGGCAAACCCCUCUCACUGACGCCGAAGAGGCUGCCAAAAGGGAGGCUGAGAACACCAUCACCUAUUCCCUUCUCAUGCACCCAGAAGCGCCAGAGGAGGAAACCUCAGAUUACCAGAACCACAUUUAGUGUCCUCUGUCUUGCCCGACUUGGGGAAGAGAAGCGGAGAGGCCAGGACCGCUGUCUUCCGGCCUCGGGGAGGUCAAGGGGACCCCGCAGUUGCAGAGAAGGCCUCUUCCAGAGUUCUCCACGUGUCCCCUGAAGCUCCCUGUCCUGAAGGCCGCAGAAUAUACGACCCAGAUGACUGACUUCCGAUUCCUUCCAUGCCUCAGCCCUUCUCGCCACCCAGACUCCUCUCCAUGUGCACGCAGCCAAUAAAAAUUACUUUUAUUAAGA